CAGCAGCCACGGGAAUACGUAGGUGGCAAGCGUUGUCCGGAAUUAUUGGGCGUAAAGGGCUCGCAGGCGGUUUCUUAAGUCUGAUGUGAAAGCCCCCGGCUCAACCGGGGAGUGUCAUUGGAAACUGGGAAACUUGAGUGCAGCAGAGGAGAGUGGAAUUCCACGUGUAGCGGUGAAAUGCGUAGAGAUGUGGAGGAACACCAGUGGCGAAGGCGACUCUCUGGUCUGUAACUGACGCUGGGGAGCGAAAGCGUGGGGAGCGAACAGGAUUAGAGACCCCUGUAGUCCCUGUCUCUUAUAC
rnacentral:rRNA from 1 species